rnacentral:rRNA from 1 species
CGCUGUGGUUCGAAAGCGUGGGUCAGCAAACAGGAUUAGAUACCCUGGUAGUCCACGCCGUAAACGAUGAAUGCUAAGUUGUCGGAGGGUUUCCGCCCUUCAGUGUUGCAGCUAACGCAAUAAGCAUUCCGCCUGGGGAGUACGACCGCAAGGUUGAAACUCAAAGGAAUUGACGGGGGCCCGCACAAGCGGUGGAGCAUGUGGUUUAAUUAGAAGCAACGUGAAGAACCUUGCCAGGUCUCGACAUCUUUUGACACUCCUAGAGAUAGGACUCUCCCUUCGGGGACAGAAUGACAGGUGGUGCAUGGUUGUCGUCAGCUCGCGUUGUGAGAUGUCGGGCUAAGUCCCGCACCGAGCGCAACCCUUACCCACACUAGCCAGCACAAAAGGUGGGCACUCUGUGGGGACAGCCGGGGACAACCCGGAGGAAGGUGGGGAGGACGUCAAAUCAUCAUGCCCCUUAUGGCCGGGGCUACACACGUGCUCCAAUGGCGUAAACAAAGGGAAGCGAGAGAGUGAUAUUAAGCGAAACUCAAAAAUAACGUCCCAGCUUGGAUUGCAGUCUGCAACUCGACUGCAUGAAGCUGGAAUCGCUAGUAAUCGCGGAUCAGAAUGCCGCGGUGAAUACGUUCACAGGGUCUUGCACACACCGCCCGUCA